rnacentral:tRNA from 1 species
GGGGUUGUGGCUCAGUGGUAGAGCGCUUGCCUAGCAUGUGCAAGGUGCUGGGUUUGAUCCUCAGCACCA